rnacentral:lncRNA from 1 species
CACCAGGAUCCAGCCAUGCCUGAGGCAGGAUCACACCAGGAUCCAGCCAUGCCUGAGGUGAGAUCACAUCAGGAUUCAGCCAUGCCUGAGGCAGGAUCACACCAGGAUCCAGCCAUGCCUGAGGAAGGAUCACACCAGGAUCCAGCUAUGUCUGAUGCGACAUCACACCAGGAUCCAGCCAUGCCUGACACAAGACCAUGCCAUGGAUGUUCUAAUUGUGCAUGCCAUAACCUCUGAGAAGGAGCAUGCUUAAUAAAUCACCCAGAUGUUGAACAGCAGAGUAUGAAAUUCCUGCGUUCCUCUCCAGCCACCCUGGGUCACGCAGGGAUCUGAUCCAAGGUAAGGAUGACUGUGAGGGUAGGGCGGGGGGAAUCUUGUUUCCUGUAAUGCAGCUCCCUGGAGAGGGCAGCAGCUCCCUGGAGAGGGCAGCAACUCUUCUAGGAAGGCUGGGACCGCCUCCUCAGAUCGGGGAGGACGACCUCCUUCAGGCAGAAGAAGCCCCUGGGUGGUUCUUCACGGUUUGGCUGGUUGGGGUCAGGAUCUGUCCUGUGUCUUCCGGGAAUUUCCGAAUGUCUCCUUUUCCAUGGAUGGAUGUGCAGCCUCUUACAAGGAAUGCCUGGCUCAUGGUGAGUGCUCAGAAAUGUUUGUGGAGUGAAUAACAGACCCAUGAAGCUGUGAAUUCCACAGGCGUCUGAUCUAGCCAACUGCAGAAGUGCAUCGUGAGAGUUGCUUUUCCCAAAUCAAUCAGCGCCCAGGCUACAAAAACAGGCAGAGGAGGUGGUUCUUCCAGCACUGCAUAGGAAGUCUUAGGUUUCGGCCGGGCGUGGUGGCUCACGCCUGUAGUCCUUGCACUUCAGGAGGCCGAGGCGGGUGGAUCAAGGAGUCAGGAGUUCAAGAACAGCCUGGCCAAAAUGGUGAAACCCCGUCUCUACUAAAAAUAAAAAAAAAAUUAGCAGGGUGUGGUGGCAGGUGCCUGUAAUCCCAGCUACUCGGGAGGCUGAGGCAGAGAAUUGCUUGAACCUGGGAGGUGGAGGUUGCAGUGAGCCGAGAUCACGCCAUUGCACUCCAGCCUGGGCGACAGAAUGAGACUCUCUCUCUCUCUCUCUCAAAAAAAAAAAAAAAAAAAAAAAAAAAGUCUUCAGCUUCAGUCUGAAUCUCAAAAUAAGAAGUUAGAGGCUGACUUGUCACUAUGUUGAGUAAGGUAUGCAGGGCAGUCAGAUGCCGCCACCCUGGCCCAGGGCCUGAGUAUUCUCCUGCUUUUCAUGAACGUGUAUGGCAGCAGCUGCAAGCCCAGUAUCGACCCUCAAGCUGUCCCCGGUUAACUCCUGACCAUCUGGAAUUGGAAAGGAACUUCUCUGCCUUCCAUCCAGGGGGCACAUUAUUUUGUGGGACCUAAAGCUUAUCCAUCCAAGGAGUGGCGCUUAUUAAGAAAAAGAAUACAGGCUGGGCGCGGUGACUCACGCCUGUAACCCCAGUACUUUGGGAGGCUGAGGCGGGAGGAUUGCUUGAGCCCAGGAGUUCAAGACCAGCCUGGGCAACAUGGCAAAACCCCAUCUCUACAAAAAAUACAAAAAUUAGCCUGGCAUGCUGGCACACGCCUGUAGUCCCAGCUACUCAGGAGGCUUGAGGUGGAAGGAUCACUAGAGGCCAGGAGGUCAAGGCUGCAGUGAGCCGUAAUCGUGCCACUGUACUCCAGCCUGCGUGACAGAGUGAGACCCCCCAUUUCAAAAAAAAAAAAAAGGAAUAUGAAUUUAUAAAUACAAAAUUAGGGACAACAUUGAACACUUAUUUAAAACGAGAAAAGAAAUCACAGCAAAUUACAGAUUUUAAAAAGCUGACAAAUAUCACAAGUAAUACAUAAUACAGAAAAACAGUCGUGAUAAUUUUUUUACCUUUUUUGGCUGACACUCUUUGAUAUCCUUUUCAGAUGUCAACGGUUUUGAAUAUUUUCCACAGUGAGAAUCAAAAGCUAAUUCAAUCUUGUUUUAGCAUGGGUGAUCAAAAUGUGUUUUGUAUUGUUUUUAGAUGUUUCUUAGCUUCACAACUGAUUAUUGCUAAUGUCCUGUACAUUUUUCGGAUUGUUGUCAAAUUUUGAAGACCCCUCUCAAGUUGUUUUUCAUAUAUGAUUGGUGAGAUUUCAGGGCAUUUCAGCUUUUCUUGUGCAGUGAUUAAUCUGAAAUAGUCUUUGAAGCGAUAACACUCGUUAAUUCAUUAUUGUCAAUGUCCGUGCUGCAGUGGUUUUUCAAGAUGUAAGUUGUCUUCCUUGAUGUCAAACCAGCAAGAAAUUUAAAUAUUUCCCAAUAUGUUCAUAAAAUGUACUCCUCAUCAUGAAUUGGACGAUCAAAAAUCCAGGAGCCUACUGAUUUCUUCUAUUCCAAAUUGAUCUUUUCCUCUUAAUGAAUUGCUUUUGGUUACAAUUCAGUUCUCAGUUUCAAACUGAUUUCUGUUGAUUUCAAUAUUCAUCUUUUAUCCCAUCUGUUUCAUAUCCUGUUAAUUUUUACCUGAACUUUCUCUUAGUUCUUUAAGAAAUCAAUAAAUUUAAAGAUAACAAAAUAAGGUCCUCUUCAUUUCUCAACUUGUCACUCUAAUUCUCUCUCCUUGAAAUCCAGAAUUGGACCUGAGGGGCAAAUGCAGCUUCUGUGGGACUGGAUCCGAGGCAGGAGAACUUGGGCUUUGGAACUGGCUAUUCCUCCAGGAUGCAGGGGCAGAGGUGGCCCGUGUGCAAGACAGAAGGAUGGAGCCGAUGUACAGAGAGGAUCUGACCUGUGCCCUGGCUGGCUCGAAGGCUCCAUCUUUUGGGAGGAGACUGAAAACUGCUUCAGAAAGAUGCCAAGAGAAAGAACAAGAUCAUUUUCACCUUCUGACAUGAAAAACAGGAUGACGCAGCCAGGUGCCAGGCUUGCAGGCCAGGCUGUGGUCUGGAGACAGGAUCUUUCCACUUCCGUCUUUCCUCCUCCCUCACCUCUUUAAGUCCAGGACUGACUCUGCAGGGACCUCCUGUCUUGCACCCCCUCCAUGCAAGCCCCGAGCCUCGAGGCUGGAUGCUGGGUGGUAGGAAAGGGCUGUGAUUUGUGGAAAGUGCAGGAAACAUCUGCCUUGUUCUGGACCCAGGGGACUGUGGGAAGGAAAGGGGGAGGGAGGAGAGUGGAGCCAGCUGAUGUGUGUCCCAGAUGUUCCGUCUUUGGGCUUUUGGGCAAAGUGAGGGGGCCCUGGGAGGGACAGUCAGUGAGGUAUGAGACUCUGGCUCUGGGGGACACUGCCUGGAAGGCUGCCCUCCACUGCCUGGGGCACUGUCCUAUCAGCAUCUGCUGGAGUGACUGCCAGUGAAGCCAGGCAGAGGCUCUUCCCUUCCCAGUGCGGCCUGGAGGAAAGCGAACAGGCCUGCCCUGGGUGCGAGGGGUGACAGGGUAAGGCGACCUCAUAGCAAAUGCCAGGGGUCAAGGGCUGGCCAGGGGUCAGAGGGAUGGUGGGGCAGAGUCUCAUGGCCCACAGCCAGCGAGAUCCGGGUCGGCGAUGGCGACACCGUUUACUUGCCAGACUUCAGGCACACCUGGGGAAAGGUGCACGGGGGCACCACCUUGGUGGCCAGUUGAUGCCACCCAAGGACCAGCAUAGGGCCAAAGAUCACCCGAGGUCACCUGCCUCCUCCACAAAGAUGCCGUCUUAGGCAGAGAAGGUGGUUGGGAGAAAGCUUUCAUAUUCAAAUGAGAUUCCUGUUAUCCACCCAUAGAUAACCAGCUUAAAGCAGGGUAGGGCUAAAAGCUAAUAUUUUCCCCCAACCAGAUAAUCUGCUAUAAACAAAUAAAUUGCAUCUUCCAGCGGGGUUGCAUUGUGAGAUCCAGGACACAGGUGUUGUGGGGAGUUUUGACAUGCAGGGAAGUGACCCCCACAUGCAGCUGCAAAGUCCUUGGGGCUCCCCCAAGAAGGCGGGCCAGACACUUGGCAGGGACGAGGUGGGAGGCAGCUCACGGCUCGGGAAUCUCCAGGGCAUGGGCUCGCACAGGUGGGAAGCACCUGUGGGCGGCUCUCAAGCCCCCAUCUCAUUGGUGCCCACGGUGGGCGUCUCCCCACCUUCCAGCUCGGGCUCCUCGCGAAGCGCCUGUUGGAGCACAGUCCCC